GCGCGAAUGGCGGAAUUGGUAGACGCGCUAGGUUGAGGGCCUAGUGAGGCAACUCGUGGGGGUUCGAGUCCCCCUUCGCGCA
rnacentral:tRNA from 1 species